rnacentral:lncRNA from 10 species
AUGCCUGUGCUAACGCAGAGAUUGAGAGACCCCAACAUAAACCCUUGCUUGAAGGAAUCUGAUGCUUCUACCAGAGGAAUGGAUGAAAAUGACCAUGACAGGGAAACAUGUUCCAUUUAUUUAUUUAUUUAUUGAGUCUGGAAUUUUAUCAUGGUCCGAAGAAUACAGGAUGGAGUGAAGCCAUCUGUGUCCAUAGCAGAGAGAGAGAUGAAAUCUUGGGAAAAUGGGAAAGAAGCCCUA